rnacentral:ncRNA from 2 species
AACUCAUCCAGAGGGGCAGAGGGAACGGCCCGAUGAAGCCCCGGCAACCAUUCCGGCGUCCGUGACCGGGUUCUCGCAGGCGUAUCGCGAGGCCGCGCCGGGACAGGUGCCAAUUCCGGCCCGCACGGGGUGUGCGGGAAAGAUGAGGA